rnacentral:rRNA from 1 species
UACGUAGGGACCAAGCGUUGUUCGGAUUUACUGGGCGUAAAGGGCGCGUAGGCGGCAAUUCAAGUCAGUUGUGAAAUCUCCGAGCUUAACUCGGAACGGUCAACUGAUACUGUUUUGCUAGAGUACAGAAGGGGCAAUCGGAAUUCUUGGUGUAGCGGUGAAAUGCGUAGAUAUCAAGAGGAACACCUGAGGUGAAGACGGGUUGCUGGGCUGAUACUGACGCUGAGGCGCGAAAGCUAGGGGUAGCAAACGGG